GCAUCAACUCCAAGUGGUCAAGGGCAAUUGAUGCUGGAGAAGUGGCAAUCUGUCUGCAAUCAUGUGUAAAACAUUCAUGAACAUGAUGGAGAUAUUUUUCAGUCUUGUUACCAUGGACCCCUAGAGGGACGCGAAAGAGAAAAGAAAUGGUUGAAAAAAGGCAACAAAACAUGCGUUAAAUUAGAGUAGCUUGUGAUGUCAAAACAAAUGCAGAAAGACAUUCCGAAACUUUCUCCAGGAGCCCAAACUGCAAGGUUGGAAGGAUUUCAUUCUGUCAUUAAUCAUUUUGCUCCAAAGAUGUUUGGGUUUUCCUACCAUUGAAUGUUAAGCAGAUUAAAACUUGCUGCCCUCUAUUACAAUGAAAAUGGGAUGAGAGAUCAAGCAGUAACAAAAGAUGGACAACCACAGUACAAUAUUGUGUACCCAAAGUUCAAGGGUGGAUACACAAUACGAGAAGUGAAAACUGGUUGUACAUAUUAUUAUGUCAGUAAGAUCAUGGACGUUGUAUAUAAAAAUGCCAAAGAAACAAAAUUAAGUCAGGCAGAAGUGUACAGAGUUGCA